UGACCAGGAUAAUAGAGGUACUACAGACUAAAGAGCUGUGGGGUCUGACCAGGAUAAUAGCGAUACUACAGACUAAAGAGCUGUGGGGUCUGACCAGGAUAAUAGAGGUACUAUAGACUAAAGAGUUGUGGGGUCUGACCAGGAUAAUAGAGGUACUACAUACUAAAGAGCUGUGGGGUCUGACCAGGAUAAUAGAGGUACUACAGACUAAAGAGCUGUGGGGUCUGACCAGGAUAAUACAGGUACUACAGACUAAAGAGCUGUGGGGUCUGACCAGGAUAAUAAGAUUACUACAGACUAAAGAGCUGUGGGGUCUGACCAGGAUAAUAGAGGUACUACAGACUAAAGAGCUGUGGGGUCUGACCAGGAUAAUAGCGAUACUACAGACUAAAGAGCUGUGGGGUCUGACCAGGAUAAUAGAGGUACUAUAGACUAAAGAGUUGUGGGGUCUGACCAGGAUAAUAGAGGUACUACAGACUAAAGAGCUGUGGGGUCUGACC
rnacentral:lncRNA from 1 species